GCUCUGUAUCAAUAACUAUUAGCAGAGAUUUAUGUCAAAAUUUUGUCAAAAUUUUGUCAAAAUUGUCAAAAUUUUAUUUAUGUCAAAAUAGGAAUACCACUUCUGGGGGAAUGCAGAGAGAUACUCAGCAGAUUCACAAGUACAUCAACUAUUUUCCCCUAAGACUGAUUUUGGAAUGUUGUGAGGACCUAUCAGAUUCUAUUCAACGGCUAGUGCCCUGUGAACAGUUCCCAAAUGACCAGCAAAGAGAUGCUUGGUUUAUGGAUAGUAGUUCCAUGGUGAAUGGGCAGCAUCCUCAUUGAAAGGUCACCUCUGAGUUAGAAGAAGCAGCAAGCUGUAGCAGACCUGAAUGAGGAAUGAAGGGAAUCCAUUUCUGCCUGUGUUUAGGAGAGUGUCUUCAGAGAUUGGAACCUCACCUUGGAGGGACGAAAUUGCCUCUGUAGGCAAAGAACUAAACUAUUAAUAAAAGGAGGAAUGCAAUGCAAGUGGUAGCAGCCUCCAAGUGCU